rnacentral:lncRNA from 12 species
GUUUUCAAGCAUGACUGCACUCAUGGUCAUCAACAUGGAGGGGAACUGUGACAUCCCAGACUGACCUUCAGCUCAGAGUAUUGCAUCAUUUUUUUUUUUUUUUAAGCUUUGGAUCUUAAAUCGAGAAAAAGGUCACCAUCAGAGCUUAGAAUUUAUAAGGCUAAUCACAGAGAAGCCGAUCAGAUCUUCUGAAGUCUGUGAAUGACACCAGGCUCAGGAGGUCAGUCCUAUUGGGUGACGAUGAUCGGAUUUCGUGAGAAUCCGACACAAAGGACUCAGAGGCAGAUCAAACCACCGAAAGCUCAGACUGUUAGACCACAGGGGUACCUUCCUGCGCGGCCUGCGGACACCGGCCGCACUUCGCCAGUCGGGCAGUGGCACAGCUUACGUGCAAGCGGCCCCAGCGCAUGUCUCAUAGCUUUGGCAGAGAGGACAGCAGUGCGCUUGCGUGUGGCGUGUAGUCGCUGUUGCCCUAACCAGGUUGCCUGUGACAUCCUGCUACCAAGUCCAAAGGAACAACCCGGGUGUACAGGGAAUCAUGUCGGCAAGGCCAUCCCAACCUCUCUACUGAGCAGGCCCUACAGUCUCCGUGGCCUCGGGAAACAAGCUCCUACCCCACUCACUCGGGAGCGAACACCGGUGACCGGGGCUGCGCUGCGGACUUUUCUCCACGUUGACUUCGAGGAUUCAGCCCUUUUUCUGUCUCCUGUCCUGCUGCUGUUGAAGGCAGGGGUUGGCCAACUAUGGACUGUGGACUCGUCACUUAUUUCAUAA